rnacentral:rRNA from 1 species
CGGAGGGUGCAAGCGUUAUCCGGAUUCACUGGGUUUAAAGGGUGCGUAGGUGGGUCUGUAAGUCAGCGGUGAAAUCUCCGAGCUUAACUCGGAAACUGCCAUUGAUACUAUAGAUCUUGAAUUAUCUGGAGGUGAGCGGAAUAUGUCAUGUAGCGGUGAAAUGCUUAGAUAUGACAUAGAACACCAAUUGCGAAGGCAGCUCACUACGGAUCGAUUGACACUGAGGCACGAAAGCGUGGGGAUCAAACAGGAUUAGAUACCCUGGUAGUCCACGCCCUAAACGAUGGAUACUCGACAUUUGUGAUAUACUAUAAGUGUCUGAGCGAAAGCAUUAAGUAUCCCACCUGGGAAGUACGACCGCAAGGUUG